AGAGUUUGAUCCUGGCUCAGAUUGAACGCUGGCGGCAUGCCUAACACAUGCAAGUCGAACGGUAGCAGGCCUUCGGGUGCUGACGAGUGGCGGACGGGUGAGUAAUGCGUAGGAAUCUGUCUUUAGUGGGGACAACCCGAGGGAAACUUGGGCUAAUACCGCAUGAGCCCUGAGGGGGAAAGCGGGGGAUCUUCGGACCUCGCGCUAAGAGAAGAGCCUGCGUCUGAUUAGCUAGUUGGAGGUAAAGGCCUACCAAGGCUACGACGGUCGCUGGUCUGAGAGGACGACCAGCCACACUGGCACUGAGAUACGGGCCAGACUCCUACGGGAGGCGAC
rnacentral:rRNA from 1 species